rnacentral:rRNA from 1 species
UACAGAGGUCUCAAGCGUUGUUCGGAUUCAUUGGGCGUAAAGGGUGCGUAGGUGGUUGGGUAAGUCAAAUGUGAAAUCCCGGAGCUCAACUCCGGAACUGCAUUCGAUACUGCCCGGCUCGAGGAUUGGAGAGGAGACUGGAAUUCACGGUGUAGCAGUGAAAUGCGUAGAGAUCGUGAGGAACACCCGUGGCGAAGGCGGGUCUCUGGACAAUUCCUGACACUGAGGCACGAAGGCCAGGGGAGCCCACGGG